rnacentral:lncRNA from 1 species
CAGAGAAUAUUUCUAAUUAAACGAAUAGACGCUAACUGCCACUUGGUCACCUACAGAAUGAACCCACUAUUUCCUUGAAAUGAGACACUUAUCCCAUCGUUCUUGCUGCACUGUGAAUUUGGUCUGGAAGACUCUUUUCCUGUCUGAUCCCAUCCCUGGAAUUGACUCAAAAUGUUUACUUCUCACAGUCAUUUAGACUUUAGGGAACAGCUGGAUGCUGCAUGGUGCCAGAGCUGAUGGACAAGGUGAGUGAGAAUGGACCAUACUGUCUUUGAAGCCUGUCUUUCCACUUAGUGGCAGUGUUUACUGUA